CAGCGCUAGUCAAAAGAUGGCAGAAACCGUCAAAAACCAAGACAGGCACUCAGAAGAAAGGGGAGAAAAAAAGCUCCAAGGAAGGUCUGGACGGAGACGCCUUCAUUACAGACACUGAUAGCAAGGGAGAGAUUAUAUUGCGUCUAACUUACGGAGGU
rnacentral:sRNA from 1 species